rnacentral:lncRNA from 1 species
AGAGACCUCUCCUCUCAUUGUAAAACAACUUGACUUCACUGAAGUUUUGGGAAAGCAAUAAAAAUUCUUGAAUGUAUUCAUUCAAAUUUCUGUCCCUCUUACGUUCUUAUUCUCUGUGGUUUGUUCUUAUUUUAUUUUUCGUCUAUCUUAAUUUUUCAACCUUUUUUUUAUUUUAAUUUCUUCAUUUUUCAAAUAUGUAUAUUUAUUCCUAUCUUUUAUACAUUUGAUUAUGUAUUUUAUAUAUUAUAAUAUUUAACUUUUUUAUAUAAUUUAUUUUCAAAUAUAUAUUUUCUAUGCAUGUAUAUAUAUUAUAUUAUCAUUUCAUGUAUUUUAAACUAUUGCAUUAUAUUUUUUAUAAUUUGUAAAUAUUCUAUUUAUUCAUUUUUUUAGUGUAUGUCAUUUAUCUUAUUUAUGCAUAGUUUCAUUUUUUUAUGCUAUGUUUAAUUAUUUCUUUUAUGUUCUAUUUUAUGAUAUAUAUUGUUAUAUAAUUUUUACAUGUAUUAUAUUUUUCUUUUAGUUUACUCAUAUUUUUAUUUAUUUAUUAUCUUAUAUUUACCCUAGUAUGAUUUUUUUUAUUAAACGUAUACUCAUGUUAUUUAAUUUUGUCUUAAUGAUAUUAUUUAUGUUUGUAUAAAAAAGUUAGAAUAUUUUAUACAUCUAUACUUCAUGAUGCAUUAAUAUGUCAUCAUGAUGCAUUAAUAUGUCAUCAUGAUGCAUUAAUAUGUCAUCCUAAAACGUUAUUUAAAAUAAUACUCCAAGAAUUUUUUUUAAAAAAAUAAAAAACAAUGCUUGAUGUUUAAAAACUUCGAAAAAUAAUGCCCUAACAUGUUAAGUUACGAUUUCUCGUUUGUCUAAAUGCUUAAAGUAUCAUUCUAAAUAGAUUUUGUAAAUCACGAGAUAAUUUCAAUUACGAAAGUUUAAGAAUAUCAUGUCUUAACAUGUUGGAUGUAAUGUUUAUAUUCUUUUAGAGCUAAAAAAUUUCAAUUUUUUUAACUUAAAUAAUUCCAAUUUAAAAAAAAAUCUUAUUUUUUAAAUCCUUUCAAAUUUUUGACAUUAAGACAAAAAUCUAUUCAAUUUGGUACCAAUUUUUAGAGUUGCAAGAGUGCUAAUCCUUCGUAACCGACUCCCGAACCUAUUUUUCUUAAUUUUAAUAGACUACAACAUUUUAUAAAAUGAUCCAAUCACACCUAAAAAUAAAAUGAUCCAACCACACCUAAAAAGAUUGAUAACGACUCCCGUUUUCAUUUUUCAAAAAUCGAUUCGCGUUUUUCAAACAUCACUUUAAAAAAUAGUUUCGACCUCGAUGCUGUUUCAGUGUUGAAGAUAGCCUCCACGUCUUUCGUCACGGUCUUAUAUCAACAGAAGUGUGGCAAAAGUUACAGCUUUCCUGGGUAAUUAAUACUGCGAGUCAAAAUAUUUGGGAGUGGCUAACCUAGGUUUUCACGAGAGGGAAUGAUGAACAAUGCCAGCUUUUCUGCUAUGCUUUGUGGUUAAUCUGGUUUUCCAGAAAUCAAUUUAUUCAUGAGAGAAAGAGCACGACUGGCACAGAUCUAGCAAAAAGCGUACAGAGACAUAUGGAGGAAUACGAAGGAAUGCGAUCAAAAAAGAGUCAUGUUAAUACCAUCAAAAACCAAAGCGCACAGGAAGACUCACCAAGUUUGACGGUUAAGUUUGAUGCAGCUUUUAAUGGCAGAAAUUUCAAGUCAGCGACAGGUCUGGUAGCGUGGGGGAUUAGGGGUGAACUAUUGGCAUUAAAGUCGAACCUUCACAGCAACGUGUCCGCAUUUUCAGCAGAAGCAUAUGCAUGUUAUGAAGCCAUUAAGUUAGGGAUUUCCAUGGGUUUGCAAUCGGUUAAAAUCAUGGGGAUUCCAGAACAGUUGUUAAAAAGUGUAAAACAACAACAAAAGACAAAUCAGAGAUCGGAGCGAUUAUCAGAGAUAUUCAAAAUACAACAACCAGAUUUCAAGAGAUCCACUUCCAGUAUAUCCACAGAACAGAGAACUUGAGAGCUCAUAGAAUCGCAAAGAACACACUUGCAAGAGGAGAAAGAUCGUACCUGACGGGAGAAGAACUACAUGACCAGGCGUUCGGUUCGGCGGGGCGAUGGCCACGAUGCCCAGACUGAAGGACCUUUGAGACAAAUGAGACUCACAACCAGAUAGCAGAAAUGAUUUAUUUUUCUCUUUGGGAAUUGCUAUCAUCAGAACGGGUGGUUUUUGAAAUGAAAAUGCGAGUAGUUUUAAUGGGUGCCAGUAGUUUGAGUUGACCGGGGUGGAUGAGUAGGUUUCCUGUUUUCUUUUCAUUAUCAUUUAUUGCUUCUGUCGUUCUUAUCCAGUUAAUAGUUCUUUUCUUUUUUUAAUUCCUUUAGGAGGCCUCCACUAUUAAACUGUCCAGUAAGGCCGUUCUUCUUUUGUAUGUUCCUAGCCAGAGUAGGAUUGAGCCCAAUUGAUCUGUUUGGGCCUAUUUUAGUUUUCUUUUUCCAAAUAAAGUACCCGGCCAAUUUUAAUUUCAAAAAACAAAAAUU